rnacentral:rRNA from 1 species
UACAGAGGGGGCAAGCGUUAUUCGGAAUUAUUGGGCGUAAAGAGCUCGUAGGCGGUGUGUCGCGUCGGCCGUGAAAACCUGGGGCUUAACUCUGGGCUUGCGGUCGAUACGGGCAUCACUGGAGUUCGGCAGGGGAGACUGGAAUUCCUGGUGUAGCGGUGAAAUGCGCAGAUAUCAGGAGGAACACCGGUGGCGAAGGCGGGUCUCUGGGCCGAUACUGACGCUGAGGAGCGAAAGCGUGGGGAGCGAACAGG